rnacentral:misc_RNA from 1 species
AAGUUCUCAACCACAACAGAUUCUUUUUUUCUGGUGUGGCUUGGAUAUGGAGGGGAAUUGCAGGCUUGUAAAAUGAAGUCAGCUCCUCUGAAAUGCAUUAGUAGUAUCUGAGCAGAAAAAGUACUACAGGUGUGAUAACUUAUCUAUGCCUUUGUAUUCUGCAUGAACGGAUUGCACUGCUUACAACAAAAUUUUGACAAAU